rnacentral:tRNA from 1 species
ACCUGGGUGGCUCAGUCAGUUGAGCGUCUGACUUCGACUCAGGUCAUGAUUUCAUGAUCAGGUCAUGGGUUCGAGCCCCGUAUCAGGCU